rnacentral:lncRNA from 1 species
AGCACCUGGAACAGGAUACAGAAGUGCUGUGGCUAGAUUUCAAACUUCAAUGUUCUCAGUGCUCUCAGUUUAAAGAUGAACAAAGAGGUGUGGAGGAGCACAAGGCUGAAAUGGAGCAGAAGUGGGAGAAACAGAAGACCAGUCUUCAGGGAAGUAUAAAAUCUCUCAAGGAGGCUUUGGAAGUUGUGGACUCAGUGGAGGACCACAUCAGAUGCAUCUCGGAAAGAUUUGAACACAUCACUGGGAGACCCAGGGACAUUAGCACAUUCUCACCGAGUGACGCUAACACGCUACAAGAUGUAAAGGACUUGGACAAGAGCAUCCAGCAAGAAAUGGAAAAGCUGGUGGACAAUCCAUUGAGCUCCUUGGUGCAGGGCUGCAGAAAGUGUCUGGAUGAACUGAGGCAGCGGGUGAGGAAGUGUGAGGCAGCCACUCAAGCCCUAGACCGCUUCCUGGUAUCUUUGCAUACCAUGGAGCAGGAAAUUGGCACUGCGUGGGCCAAUCCCAGUGAUGAUGCCAUCUCACUUCGAGACUGUCGCUCACGGUUGGCGUUGGUCCGGCAAAGUAUACGAAGUGUGGCAGACAAAGCACCGCAGCUUGACCAGCUGUUGAAAGGAGCUGUUUUGGCCGUAACCCGUAAUGGCAUCCCGGCUUCCUGCGUGGAUGUAGUAGUUGUGCUGGAGAAAAAGCUGGAGGAGACGGAUGCUGGCCUGAUUAAAAAGCAGCAGAGUUUUCAGAGAGAGCAGGAGGGCCGGGCUGUGGGGCUGAGGAGGAGGACUCUGCAAGGAGCUUUAUGCGAGCUGCAAGCUGUUGCUGAGCGCCAGGGUUUGAAGGAGCCUACAAUACCUGCUGUGCAGCAAAGGUAUGAUGGUUGGCUCUGAAGGUCCUAGAAUCACUUACUGUUA